GGCGCGCAUUCAUUUCAUUUCUUUGCCCUUUAUUUUAAUUAGAACAAAGCACAAGAGAUUUCUACUGGAAAAAUCCUCAAUCAUAAGCUGUGUCCUUGGUUUGUUCCGUUUAAUUUGGUUCUUUGUUCCCUUGUCAUUAAAUUCAUGCUUUCUUUUCACUUCAUUCCAUUCCAUUAUAAUUUAAUGACAAGGUGAACAAGAGAACGAAAUUAACCGUGAACAAAGGGAAAACAAACCAUAGAUUAUGAAGAGAGUUCUGUG
rnacentral:ribozyme from 1 species